GGGUUGUGAGGUUAAGCGACUAAGCGUACACGGUGGAUGCCCUGGCAGUCAGAGGCGAUGAAGGGCGUGCUAAUCUGCGAUAAGCGCCGGUAAGGUGAUAUGAACCGUUAUAACCGGCGAUACCCGAAUGGGGAAACCCAGUGUGACUCGUCACACUAUCAUUAACUGAAUCCAUAGGUUAAUGAGGCGAACCGGGGGAACUGAAACAUCUAAGUACCCCGAGGAAAAGAAAUCAACCGAGAUUCCCCCAGUAGCGGCGAGCGAACGGGGAGGAGCCCAGAGCCUGAAUCAGCAUGUGUGUUAGUGGAAGCGUCUGGAAAGGCGCGCGAUACAGGGUGACAGCCCCGUACACAAAAGCGCAUGUGCUGUGAGCUCGAUGAGUAGGGCGGGACACGUGGUAUCCUGUCUGAAUAUGGGGGGACCAUCCUCCAAGGCUAAAUACUCCUGACUGACCGAUAGUGAACCAGUACCGUGAGGGAAAGGCGAAAAGAACCCCGGCGAGGGGAGUGAAAAAGAACCUGAAACCGUGUACGUACAAGCAGUGGGAGCCCCACCACCAAAGCAUUUGCUGUACCGCGUUGACGGAGCGAAGCGACGUCAAACCG
rnacentral:rRNA from 1 species